CGUUCCUUUCCUGUUUGUCCCUUUGCCAUUCCUCUCCUGUAUCGCCUUUCCACCGUGCUGUUCUUUCCCACUGUCACAGCCGCCCCAUAGCAGCACCGCCCCAUAGCAGCACCGCCCCAAAGCCUCACCGCCCCAAAGCAGCACCGCCCCAUAGCAGCACCGCCCCAAAGCCUCACCGCCCCAUAGCAGCACCGCCCCAAAGCCUCACUGCCCCAUAGCAGCACCGCCCCAUAGCAGCACCGCCCCAAAGCCUCACUGCCCCAUAGCAACACUGCCCCAUAGCAGCACCGUCCCAAAGCCUCACUGCCCCAUAGCAGCACCACCCCAAAGCCUCACCGCCCCAAAGCCUCACUGGCCCAUAGCAGCACCGCCCCAAAGCCUCACUGCCCCAUAGCAUCACUGCCCCAUAGCAGCACCGCCCCAAAGCCUCACCGCCCCAAAGCCUCACUGCCCCAUAGCAGCACCGCCCCAAAGCCUCACUGCCCCAUAGCAGCACCGCCCCAAAGCCUCACUGCCCCAUAGCAUCACUGCCCCAUAGCAGCACCGCCCCAAAGCCUCACUGCCCCAUAGCAGCACCGCCCCAUAGCAGCACCGCCCCAAAGCCUCACUGCCCCAUAGCAGCACUGCCCCAUAGCAUCACUGCCCCAAAGCCUCACUGCCCCGUAGCUGCACUGCCCCAUAGCAGCACCACUCCAUUGUGUCUCUACCCCAUAACGUUGCCCAAUAGUGUCACUGCCCCAUAGCAUCGCUGCCUGCAUGGGAACUGCUGAGUCCCAGCCUGACCCUCUGAUGGAUCACCUGGGAAAGGACCGCUCAGCACAGGCAGCAGAGGUGAAGGCGAUGCAGCUGUGCAGCAGGAAGGGUUUGAGCCUGGCUGCACUCCUCUUAGACCCCAUAGAAGAGCUGACAGCCACUGGGUGAGGAUUUCUGGUUGGGGAUCCCUCCUUGGCGGAGUUUUCCCCUGCGAUCGUGGAGUGUUCUGAAAGGGGUGAGCAAUCUGCUUCCCUUCCUCUAUUGCACCUCCUGUCUGUGUGAUGAAAUUGACAACAAACAAAACGCUUCAGUUUCUCUCUUGGGAUACGGGUCUUGAUUGAAAAACAGCACAGAAGAGAAGGGGUUGGACUGGAUGAUCUUGUAGGUCUUCUCCAACCCUGGUCAUUCUAUGAUUCUAUCAAGUGAUCAGCAGGACAUUGGAGAGGUGAUUUUGUCUUUAUUUUCCUGGCUGUAAAAUGCUGUUAUUUGGCCCUCUCCCAGCACACACACAACGUGCAGUUGAGGUCUCCCGUGCCUGGAAAGAGUUACAGAAUCAUAGAAUGGCUGAAGCUGAAGCUGAAGGGGUCCUUCAGGCCCAUGUGGUUCCAGCCCCCUGCUGUGGGCUGCUUGUCCCCCACCAGAUCAGGCUGCUCAGGGUCUCAUCCAGCCUGUCCUGGGAUGCUCCCGGAGGGGGG
rnacentral:lncRNA from 1 species